UACGGAGGGUGCAAGCGUUAUCCGGAUUCACUGGGUUUAAAGGGUGCGUAGGUGGGCAAGUAAGUCAGUGGUGAAAUCUCCGGGCUUAACCCGGAAACUGCCAUUGAUACUAUUUGUCUUGAAUACUGUGGAGGUCAGCGGAAUAUGUCAUGUAGCGGUGAAAUGCUUAGAUAUGACAUAGAACACCAAUUGCGAAGGCAGCUGGCUAACACAA
rnacentral:rRNA from 1 species